GCAGGUCCGGCUGGGGAGCGGAACGGCAUGGGAGGGCCGGCCGCAGCGGGUGACAGCCCCGUACGCGAACCCAGACCGGACGGCGCGACGCGGUCCCUGAGUAGGGCCGGGCACGUGAAACCCGGUCCGAACCUGGGUGGACCACCAUCCAAGCSUGAGUACUACCCUGUGACCGAUAGCGCACCAGUACCGUGAGGGAAAGGUGAAAAGCACCCCGGGAGGGGAGUGAAACAGUACCUGAAACCGUGCGCCCACGAGCAGUCGGAGCAACUUUCAGUUGUGACGGCGUGCCUUUUGUAGAAUGAGCCAGCGAGUCGCUGGCGCGGGGCGAGGUUAACCGAAAGGGAGCCGGAGCGAAAGCGAGCCUUAACAGGGCGACUUGAGUCCCGCGCCGCGGACGCGAAGCCGGGUGAGCUAUCCGUGGGCAGGCUGAAGCGGGGGUAAGACCCCGUGGAGGGCCGAACGCACGUCGGUUGAAAACGGCGGCGAUGACCUGCGGAUAGGGGUGAAAGGCCAAUCAAACCCGGAGAUAUCUCGUUCUCCCCGAAAUAGCUUUAGGGCUAGCGUCGCGCGUUCACCGCCGGAGGUAGAGCACCGGAUGGACGAGGGGGCUUCGCCGCCUACCGAAUCCAACCGAACUCCGAAUGCCGGCGGCCCAGAGCGCGGCAGUCAGAGCAUGUGGGCUAAGCUGUGUGCUCGAGAGGGAAACAGCCCGGACCGCCCGCUAAGGUCCCCAAGUUCCAGCCGAGUGGCAAAGGAUGUGCGUCCGCCCAGACAACCAGGAUGUUGGCUUAGAAGCAGCCAUCCAUUCAAAGAGUGCGUAACAGCUCACUGGUCGAGUGGACAUGCGCCGACAAUACACGGGGCUAAGCUGGACACCGAAGCGGCGGGAUUUUAAUUCAUUAGAAUCGGUAGGGGAGCUUCCCAUGGGCGGAGAAGCCGGAGGGCGACCGACGGUGGAGCGCAUGGGAGUGAGAAUGCUGGCAUGAGUAGCGAGAGACGAGAGAGUAACUCGUCCGCCGUGAACCCGAGGUUUCCUGGGCAAGGCUAAUCCUCCCAGGGUCAGUCGGGGGCUAAGGCGAGGCCGGUAGGCGUAGCCGACGCGCAGCAGGCAGACAUUCCUGCACCGCGCACGCGGCGCUACGACCGACGGGGCGACGGAUGGGGGUGGCUCGGCGGGGUUCUGGACGUCCCCGUGAUGGAGCGCGGCCCGCGGACCAGGGAAAUCCGGUCCGCAGGAGGGCGAGGCUCCGGACGAAGCGACUGAGCGAAGCGAGUGAGCCCGAGGUCCCUAGAAAAACCCCUAGGCAGGCGCGUGCGCGCCCGUACCGCAAACCGACACAGGUGGGUGGGUAGAACAUACCGAGGCGAUCGGGUCAACCAUGGUCAAGGAACUCGGCACAAUGGCCCCGUAACUUCGGGAGAAGGGGUGCCCGCGCGUACGUGAACCGGCUUGCCCGGGGAGCGGAGGCGGGCCGCAGUGGAGAGGCCCAAGCGACUGUUUACCAAAAACACAGGACUCUGCAGAAGCCGCAAGGCGACGUAUAGGGUCUGACGCCUGCCCGGUGCCGGAAGGUCACGCGGAGGAGUUAGCGCAUCGCGCGAAGCCCCGAAGCCAAGCCCCGGUAAACGGCGGCCGUAACUAUAACGGUCCUAAGGUAGCGAAAUUCCUUGUCGGGUAAGUUCCGACCUGCACGAAAGGCGCAACGACUUGGGCGCUGUCUCGACCAUGGACCCGGUGAAAUUGCACUGGUCGUGAAGAUGCGACUUACCCGCGGAAGGACGGAAAGACCCCGUGAACCUUCACUGCAGCUUGGCAUUGGGCCGCUGGUCCCGCGUGUAGA
rnacentral:rRNA from 1 species